GAAAUGCGAUAAGUAAUGUGAAUUGCAGAAUUCAGUGAAUCAUCGAAUCUUUGAACGCACAUUGCGCCCGCCAGUAUUCUGGCGGGCAUGCCUGUCCGAGCGUCAUUUCACCCCUCAGGCCCUGCCUGGCGUUGGGGCGCUGCGCGAGAGCGCAGGCCCUCAAGUACAGUGGCGAGCCGGCCGGGAACCCGAGCGUAGUAACACUCUUCGCCCUGGGACCCCGGGCGGCCUCCGCCGUGAAACGAGACGCGAGAGCGCCUUCCACAAGGUUGACCUCGGAUCAGGUAGGAAUACCCGCUGAACUUAA
rnacentral:misc_RNA from 1 species